ACUACCGAUUGAAUGGUUUAGUGAGGCCUUCUGACUGGCGCCGAUGCUCUGGCAACAGAGCGCCGGAUGCCGGAAAGUUGGUCAAACUUGAUCAUUUAGAGGAAGUAAAAGUCGUAACAAGGUUUCCGUAGGUGAACCUGCGGAAGGAUCAUUACCGAUGUAAUCCAAAAGCACGACUCCGUCGUGACUACCGUGUGAACCGUACCAAACUAUUCAGGGGUCGGCAAGUCCGUUAAAUGGCGGUCGGACGCCUGCGUUGCGCGCGCGGCCGCUCCGCCAGCCCCGCCUGUGUUUUUUAACAUACGUGUCUUGUCUGAAAACGUGACCACUGCCGUGGUCCAGAGCAAAGAAAAAAGAGAGACAACUUUUGACGGUGGAUCUCUUGGCUCACGCAUCGAUGAAGAACGCAGCCAGCUGCGAUAAGUAGUGUGAAUUGCAGAAUUCAGUGAAUCAUCGAAUCUUUGAACGCAAAUGGCGCUCUUGGGUUCUCCCAGGAGCAUGUCUGUCUGAGUGUCGGAUAUCAUCCAACGCACUUAGUCGUGCGGCGUUGAGGCGUCACGGCCCUCAUGCUGCCGUGUCCCUUGAAAGUCAGAGAGACUCGCGCGGCACGGGUUCGUUCCCUGCACACUCGCGGAGGCUAAAAACGCUUUUGCCCUUCGCGUGCACGGGACGACCCGUCCGCGAGUCGCGGAGGCGAACACUUUUUAAACUCUUGACCUCAGAUCAGACAAGGCUACCCGCUGAAUUUAAGCAUAUUAAUAAGCGGAGGAAAAGAAACUAACAAGGAUUCCCCCAGUAACGGCGAGUGAAGCGGGAUGAGCUCAAAUUUGAAAUCUCCGGUGCUUGCACCGGCGAGUUGUAGUUGCGAGAAGCACUUUCUCGGCGGAUCGGCGGCGCCUAAGUUGCUUGGAACAGCAUGUCGCAGAGGGUGACAACCCCGUCUGUGGCGCGGCCGGCCGCUUACGAUACUGGCGAUUGCCAUUUGGUCAGUGCGGCGUUGAGGCGUCACGGCCUGCUUGAAAUGUUGGCCGUGUCCCUUGAAGGUCAGUGAGACUCGCCGUGGCAUGGGUCAUCUCCCUGCACACUCGCGGAGGCUAAAAACGCUUUUGCCCUUCGCGUGCUCGGAGCGGCCUGGCCGGCGGGACGCGUAGGCGAACGAUUAUCAACUCUUGACCUCAGAUCAGGCAAGGCUACCCGCUGAAUUUAAGCAUAUUAAUAAGCGGAGGAAAAGAAACUAACAAGGAUUCCCCCAGUAACGGCGAGUGAAGCGGGAACAGCUCAAAUUUGAAAUCUCCGGUGCUUGCACCGGCGAGUUGUAGUUGCGAGAAGCACUUUCUAGGUGGAUCGGUCGUGCCUAAGUUGCUUGGAACAGCAUGUCGCAGAGGGUGACAACCCCGUCUGUGGCGCGACCGGCCGCUGACGAUGUGCUUUCGAA
rnacentral:rRNA from 1 species